rnacentral:misc_RNA from 1 species
CACAAACUAUAGACACAAACACACGCGAACCAAAAUCGUCUCCACAGGUCGUAAUGAGAAAGAGAGAGUCUGCAUGUGCCCUUCCUCUCGGGGUAGUAUAGUACGUGCCCCCCUCUUCUUCCAUUGCCUCUUGUGUGCCCGGCGUACAGUCCCCAUUGAGAAUGGAUGUGAGGGCACCGCAGGAAGCUUUUCCACAGGAAGUCGCCAUCCUUCUCCCUCCACCCUGGCGGCGCUUUUUUUUUUUGCCUUUGCAGGAAAAAAAAAAAGCAUGCUGCCAAUGGAGCAAUUUUGCACAACACCAUUGGCCCGUUUAUUUUCUUAACUGCUUGCCACUGCCUCCUAUGAGGAGGUUGUGGGAAG